AUUGAACGCUGGCGGCAUGCUUUACACAUGCAAGUCGAACGGCAGCGGGGGUGCUUGCACCUGCCGGCGAGUGGCGAACGGGUGAGUAAUGCAUCGGAACGUGCCCAGUCGUGGGGGAUAACUUGCCGAAAGGUAAGCUAAUACCGCAUACGUCCUGAGGGAGAAAGCGGGGGAUCUUCGGACCUCGCGCGAUUGGAGCGGCCGAUGUCAGAUUAGCUAGUUGGUGGGGUAAAGGCCUACCAAGGCGACGAUCUGUAGCGGGUCUGAGAGGAUGAUCCGCCACACUGGGACUGAGACACGGCCCAGACUCCUACGGGAGGCAGCAGUGGGGAAUAUUGGACAAUGGGCGCAAGCCUGAUCCAGCCAUGCCGCGUGAGUGAUGAAGGCCUUAGGGUUGUAAAGCUCUUUCGCCCGCGAAGAUAAUGACGGUAGCGGGAGAAGAAGCCCCGGCUAACUUCGUG
rnacentral:rRNA from 1 species